rnacentral:rRNA from 1 species
CCUACGGGAGGCAGCAGUGGGGAAUAUUGGGCAAUGGAGGCAACUCUUACCCAGCAAUGCCGCGUGAAUGAAGACGGUCCUCGGAUUGUAAAGUUCUUUAAUUGGGGACGAAAAAAAUGACGGUACUCAAGGAAUAAGCCUCGGCUAACUACGUGCCAGCAGCCGCGGGAAUACGUAGGGGGCAAGCGUUGUUCGGAAUGACUGGGCGUAAAGGGUGUGUAGGCGGUGUAGCAAGUUAGAAGUGAAAUACCUAGAGCUUAACUCAGGUGCUGCUUCUAAAACUGCUAUACUUGAGUGCAGUAGAGGAAAGUGGAAUUCCUAGUGUAGCGGUGGAAUGCGUAGAGAUUAGGAGGAACAUCAGUGGCGAAGGCGACUUUCUGGACUGUAACUGACGCUGAGGCACGAAAGUGUGGGGAGCAAACAGGAUUAGAUACCCUAGUAGUC